AAUAUAAUUAAAUAAUAUUUAUUUGAGGAUGAAAUAUUUAUUUUGUUGGAGAAAAGCAAGUUUUAACGAUGAACUAAAGCUUAGUUUGGUAUUAAAAUCUAUCUAAUGUUAGAUAAAAUGGAGUUAGAAAAAAAGUAUAUAGGAAUAUGCUUCUGUAUUCUCCGGUCGGACUGCAAAAAAUAUAUCAUAACCGGCUUAUCAUAAUAUGUGAAAAGUAAUAUUACGUACAGAAACAAAAAUAUUUUUUCAUCAUACUUUCUCACCGCACGUAAUGCAAUCUCCCCGCAAUCCCAAACAAAGCCUAAUAAAUAAAAACAUAUUUGAAAAUUAGACAACUUUGAAGGAAUAUAACUGAUAAGCUAAACCUUUGUAGGAAUAUAUAUAUAAAAAUUUUUGAUAAGAAUUAAUGUGUAAUUUUAUUGCUUUGUAGGGA
rnacentral:lncRNA from 1 species